rnacentral:rRNA from 1 species
UACGGGGGGGGCAAGCGUUGUUCGGAAUUACUGGGCGUAAAGGGCUCGUAGGCGGCCAACUAAGUCGGACGUGAAAUCCCUCGGCUCAACCGGGGAACUGCGUCCGAUACUGGAUGGCUUGAGUUCGGGAGAGGGAUGCGGAAUUCCAGGUGUAGCGGUGAAAUGCGUAGAUAUCUGGAGGAACACCGGUGGCGAAGGCGGCAUCCUGGACCGGCAUUGACGCUGAGGCGCGAAAGCUAGGGGAGCAAACGGG